UGAACGCUAGCGGCAGGCCUAAUACAUGCAAGCCGAACGGCAAGAUUUGUAGCAAUACAGAUCCUAGAGUGGCGUAAGGGUGCGUAACACGUAUGCAAUCUGCCCGCAACCGGAGUAUAGCUCCCCGAAAGGGGAAUUAACGCUCCAUAGGAACACACGAGGGCAUCUGAGAGUGUUUAAACGCGAGGGUUGUGGAUGAGCAUGCGCAUGAUUAGCUAGUUGGUAGGGUAACGGCCUACCAAGGCGAUGAUCAUUAGGGGAACUGAGAGGUUUGAUCCCCCCGACACUGGCACUGAGAUACGGGCCAGACUCCUACGGGAGGCAGCAGUAGGGAAUAUUGGUCAAUGGGUGAGAGCCUGAACCAGCCAUGCCGCGUGCAGGAAGACGGCCUUCUGGGUUGUAAACCUGCUUUUAACCUGGGGAUAAAAACCGCUGUGCGCAGUGGAUUGAAGGUACCAGGGGAAUAACGCCACGGCUAACUACGUGCCA
rnacentral:rRNA from 1 species